rnacentral:lncRNA from 1 species
UUCUCAUAUUUCUCCUAUUUUGAUAUCACGUUAUGCUUGUUGACGAUUUCUAUUGUCACUAUUAGCUCACCUCUAUUUUGUGUCACUAUUAGCUCACCUCUAUUUUGGAAUUCUACUUCAACCACAUAUUCAUCAAUCCAGGUAUCUUUAAAGUCAGAGACGAGGGCUCUGGUAUUGAAGAAAUCAGUUCCCCUGCGACGAUUAUUGUGGAUAAAUAAUCAGUCAAGAGGUAUGCUCCGUGCGACAGAUAUUCGAUGAUGACUUGACGGUGGAGCGCGGCUGCUACCAAAACGAAAAUUUUAAAAGUUGUAUAUCUCAACAAGUUAACUGUUAGUUUCACCAAAUUUAUUUUUAAAAUUAUAAUUUUAUUUUACAGUUUGGGAAUUGAGAUAAUUUGCAUGAAACAGUUAGCUAGAUAGAAGCAAAAGUUUGUCUGUACCCAAAUCAGUUUUACAAGUAGUUACGGUAAAAGCAGGGAGCCAAAGGGGUUUGGAUUUGUGCGUAUGUAGAUCCCGCUGAUGCUGCAGAAGCAAAAUACCAGAUGAAGGUCAGGUUUUGCAUGAGAGAGAAUUGACAGUUGUUUUUGCUGAGGAAAAUCGAAAGAAACCAACUAAUAUAAGAAUGAGAGAGAGGAGGUAAGUUAUUGAUUGCGAAAUUUACAUGCCUUCAUUUGGUGUCCUUGAUGUAUCUUUGUUUGUAAUUUAAAACCUUUUAAGAAUUUGUGAUUGAAAGCUGAAGGGGAAUGAUGUAGUUGGCAUGUUUAUAUACCAUGAUUUAUUAGC